AGAGGACAGUCUCACGGUCCCCAAGCCCAGAGACCACUGGGAGGGGAGCAAGUGGGGUCUGGACCACCGACCUUAGCUUCACCUCAACCCCCAAGAACACCUGCCCCGUUGGAGGCAGACUGGAGCUGGCUGUGGAUUUUAUUUCUCAGGAGAAGGAGGUGGGAGCUGGAGAGAGUGACCCGUGCAUCUUUCCAGCUUUUCCUUGGCCACCUGGGUGGCAUGGGAGCUGGGAGUCAGAGUUCUGCUGAGCUGUAGGACCAAAGGCCACUGGCUCCGCUGCACCUGCGGACUGAGACACCCACCUGCUGAGUGAGACCCAGCCUCUGCGUGCUUAGGGGUCCCCUGCUACAGGGCAUUGAGGUGAGGUCCGCCUUUGCCCAGUGUGAGAGCGCUGCUUUCAGAGCUUUGAGAAGGCUGUUAUCAUUUGUUUCUUUUUGAACUUGCCACCUCCCCACUUAGAGAAUAUUUCUGGGGACAGAGUUUCGUAACUCCUGCCGCAUAGUUGGUGCCUGCUCUCGACUACAUUAAAUCUAUUUUCAGUGCC
rnacentral:lncRNA from 1 species